rnacentral:rRNA from 1 species
AUUGAACGCUGGCGGCAUGCUUUACACAUGCAAGUCGAACGGCAGCGCGGGCUUCGGCCUGGCGGCGAGUGGCGAACGGGCGAGUAAUACAUCGGAACGUGCCCAGUAGUGGGGGAUAGCUCGGCGAAAGCCGGAAUAAUACCGCAUACGACCUGAGGGUGAAAGCGGGGGAUCUUCGGACCUCGCGCUAUUGGAGCGGCCGAUGGCAGAUUAGCUAGUUGGUGGGGUAAAGGCCUACCAAGGCGACGAUCUGUAGCUGGUCUGAGAGGACGACCAGCCACACUGGGACUGAGACACGGCCCAGACUCCUACGGGAGGCAGCAGUGGGGAAUUUUGGACAAUGGGCGAAAGCCUGAUCCAGCAAUGCCGCGUGUGUGAUGAAGGCCUUCGGGUUGUAAAGCACUUUUGGCGGGAACGAAAAGGACUGUGCCAAUACCACGGUUCGAUGACGGUACCCGCAGAAUAAGCACCGGCUAACUACGUG